UACGAAGGGUGCUAGCGUUGUUCGGAAUCACUGGGCGUAAAGCGCACGUAGGCGGAUGUGUCAGUCAGGGGUGAAAUCCCGGAGCUCAACUUCGGAACUGCCCUUGAUACAGCACGUCUUGAGUCCGGAAGAGGUGGGUGGAAUUCCUAGUGUAGAGGUGAAAUUCGUAGAUAUUAGGAAGAACACCGGUGGCGAAGGCGGCCCACUGGUCCGGUACUGACGCUGAGGUGCGAAAGCGUGGGGAGCAAACAGG
rnacentral:rRNA from 1 species